rnacentral:rRNA from 1 species
UACAGAGGUGGCAAGCGUUAUUCGGAAUUACUGGGCGUAAAGGGCGCGUAGGUGGCCUUCUUAGUCAGACGUGAAAUCCCCAGGCUUAACCUGGGAACUGCGUCUGAUACUGGAAGGCUCGAGUUCGGGAGAGGAAUGUGGAAUUCCAGGUGUAGCGGUGAAAUGCGUAGAUAUCUGGAGGAACACCGGUGGCGAAGGCGGCAUUCUGGACCGAAACUGACGCUGAGGCGCGAAAGCCAGGGGAGCAAACGGG